GAAUAAAAAGGUUUUAUGAAAGCAAAUAGAAUUUUGAGUGAAUCAAUUGAGCGCAGAUCUAAACAUUGAUGAGGUUAAAUAUGUGGCGCGGAGCCUCAGUAGUCAAUCCAUAUACAUUUACAUUUGGCUUCUCGCAUACAAUACAAGUGUUUAGAAGUGUGUGUCACAUUAAACUGGUUUUAAUGUUGUUAUAGUUUAUCCGAGGAUUUUAAUGUUGUUGAUUGCGAAUCCAGAUAUUCUUUGGGAUAUUAAAUAAAC
rnacentral:lncRNA from 1 species